AUUGAACGCUGGCGGCAUGCUUUACACAUGCAAGUCGAACGGUAGCAGGGUGCUUGCACCGCUGACGAGUGGCGAACGGGUGAGAAAUGCGUCGGAACGUGCCGAGUAGUGGGGGAUAACGCAGCGAAAGUUGUGCUAAUACCGCAUACGUACUGAGGUAGAAAGUGGGGGACCUUCGGGCCUCACGCUAUUCGAGCGGCCGACGUCUGAUUAGCUAGUAGGUGAGGGAAAGGCUCACCUAGGCGACGAUCAGUAGCGGGUCUGAGAGGAUGAACCGCCACGCGGGGACUGAGACACGGCCCAGAGUCCUACGGGUGGCAGCAGUGGGGAAUUUUGGACAAUGGGCGAAAGCCUGAUCCAGCCAUGCCGCGUGUCUGAAGAAGGCCUUCGGGUUGUAGAGGACUUUUGUCAGGGAGGAAAUCCCUAGCGUUAAUACCGCUGGGGGAUGACAGUACCUGAAGAAUAAGCACCGGCUAACUACGUGCCAGCCGCCGCCGUAAAAC
rnacentral:rRNA from 1 species